GACGAACGCUGGCGGCAGGCUUAACACAUGCAAGUCGAACGCCCCGCAAGGGGAGUGGCAGACGGGUGAGUAACGCGUGGGAACGUGCCCUUCGCUUCGGAAUAGCCCCGGGAAACUGGGAGUAAUACCGAAUACGCCGUAUUGGGAAAGAUUUAUCGGCGAAGGAUCGGCCCGCGUUAGAUUAGGUAGUUGGCGGUGUAAUGGACCACCAAGCCUACGAUCUAUAGCUGGUCUGAGAGGAUGAUCAGCCACACUGGGACUGAGACACGGCCCAGACUCCUACGGGAGGCAGCAGUGGGGAAUCUUGGACAAUGGGCGCAAGCCUGAUCCAGCCAUGCCGCGUGAGUGAAGAAGGCCUUAGGGUUGUAAAACUCUUUCGCCGGAGAAGAUAAUGACGGUAUCCGGAGAAGAAGCCCCGGCUAACUCCGUGCCAGCCGCCGCAGUAAAAC
rnacentral:rRNA from 1 species